rnacentral:rRNA from 1 species
UACGGAGGGUGCAAGCGUUAUCCGAAUUCACUGGGUUUAAAGGGUGUGUAGGCGGGUAUUUAAGUCAGUGGUGAAAUCUCUGAGCUCAACUCAGAAACUGCCAUUGAUACUAUUUAUCUUGAAUAUCGUUGAGGUUGGCGGAAUAUAUCAUGUAGCGGUGAAAUGCAUAGAUAUGAUAUAGAACACCGAUUGCGAAGGCAGCUAACUAAGCGAUGAUUGACGCUGAGGCACGAAAGCGUGGGGAUCAAACAGG